rnacentral:misc_RNA from 1 species
GUGGGAGGGGGCUUGCCCCCGAUAGCAGAGUGUCAGUCAGCCAAUGUGUAGCUGACCCACCGCAAUCGGGGGCAAGCCCCCUCCCAC